rnacentral:rRNA from 1 species
GAGGUAACGGCUCACCAAGGCGACGAUCUUUAGGGGGCCUGAGAGGGUGAUCCCCCACACUGGUACUGAGACACGGACCAGACUCCUACGGGAGGCAGCAGUGAGGAAUAUUGGACAAUGGGUGAAAGCCUGAUCCAGCCAUCCCGCGUGUAGGAAGACGGCCCUAUGGGUUGUAAACUACUUUUAUCUGGGGAUAAACCUACUUACGUGUAAGUAGCUGAAGGUACCAGAUGAAUAAGCACCGGCUAACUCCGUGCCAGCAGCCGCGGUAAUACGGAGGGUGCAAGCGUUAUCCGGAUUUAUUGGGUUUAAAGGGUCCGUAGGCGGGCUCAUAAGUCAGUGGUGAAAUCCGACAGCUUAACUGUCGAACUGCCAUUGAUACUGUGAGCCUUGAGUAAGGUUGAAGUGGCUGGAAUAAGUAGUGUAGCGGUGAAAUGCAUAGAUAUUACUUAGAACACCAAUUGCGAAGGCAGGUCACUAAGUCUUAACUGACGCUGAUGG